UCAGGGAACUUCAGUAAUUCUUCUACAAUGUGAGGUCCCGGGUGGUAUUUUUCAUCUUUGAACUUCAUUCCAAGGAAGUCGAUAUCAGUUUGCGCCAAUGAGUUCUUCUUUUCUGAUAGCAUAAUCCCAUAGGAAUCUACUAGUUGUUGGAAAGUAGAGAGGAGUUCCUUAUGGGCCGUGACAUCUUUGGAGAAGAGGAGAAUGUCAUCUAUAUAGGUGAGAGCACUGUGGAGUAUGGGCUCAAAUAUCUUUGUCAUGGCCUUCUGGAAAACAGAUGGGGCUG
rnacentral:misc_RNA from 1 species